rnacentral:tRNA from 1 species
CUUAUUCAAAGCAAAGCACUGAAAAUGCUUAGAUGGAUGCAAGCAUCC